CUACGGAGGGUGCAAGCGUUGCUCGGAAUCACUGGGCGUAAAGCGUACGCAGGCGGUUUACUAAGUCGGGUGUGAAAGCCCAGGGCUCAACCCUGGAACUGCAUUCGAAACUGGUAGACUUGAGUACGGGAGAGGAGAGCGGAAUUCCUGGUGUAGAGGUGAAAUUCGUAGAUAUCAGGAGGAACACCCGUGGCGAAAGCGGCUCUCUGGCCCGAUACUGACGCUCAUGUACGAAAGCGUGGGUAGCAAACAGGAUUAGAUACCCCGGUAGUCC
rnacentral:rRNA from 1 species